AAGGCGGUGAUGGUGGUGGUGGUGAAAACGGAAAAGGUGGCAAUGGUGGUGGUAAAGGGAAGGGAAAAGGCGGUGAAGGGAAGGUGAAGGAUGAGGUAGGUGGCGGCGGCGGUGACGGUGACGGAGGUUUUGGUGGUGGUGAGAUGAUUAUGAAUAGUAAUGUAGGUAAUGGUAUGCAGAUGAUGCAGCAGCAAGUUCAAUUUGGAUAUCCAUACCCGUAUAUGUACGGGCCGGUUUAUCCAGCUGAACAGUUUCAGAACCCGUACCCGGUAUCAGUUCAUGCCCCUCAGCUCUUUAGUGAUGAGAACCCAAAUGCUUGCAGUAUUAUGUGAUGAUAAUCAUGAGAUUGGAGAAAAAAAUAAUCAGAACUCUUUUUGCUAAUUUUAGAGAAAAUCAAAAAGCUAAAAACUUGUAGAUAAAGAGAAGAG
rnacentral:misc_RNA from 1 species